AUUAACGCUAGCGGCAGGCAUAAUACAUGCAAGUUGAACGGCAGCACAGGUAGCAAUACCGGGUGGCGAGUGGCGCACGGGUGCGUAACACGUAUGCAACCUACCCUAUACAGGCGAAUAACCUUUAGAAAUGAGGGCUAAUACGCCGUGGUAUUAUCUUGGGGCAUCUUGAGAUAAUUAAAGAUUUAUCGGUAUAGGAUGGGCAUGCGUCCCAUUAGUUAGUUGGUAGGGUAACGGCCUACCAAGGCGAUGAUGGG
rnacentral:rRNA from 1 species